UCUUUGCUAGUAUAUCGGUUAGUACACGCGCCUGUCAUGUGACUUUCCGCGCGAAAGCUGGGUUCGACUCCCAGGCAAAGAG